GGUGUUGGGUCCUUUCCGGGACUCAGUGCCGCAGCUAACGCAUUAAGCACUCCGCCUGGGGAGUACGACCGCAAGGUUGAAACUCAAAGGAAUUGACGGGGGCCCGCACAAGCGGUGGAGCAUGUGGUUUAAUUCGAAGCAACGCGAAGAACCUUACCAGGUCUUGACAUCCCAGUGACCGUCCUAGAGAUAGGAUUUUUCUUCGGAACACUGGAGACAGGUGGUGCAUGGUUGUCGUCAGCUCGUGUCGUGAGAUGUUGGGUCAAGUCCCGCAACGAGCGCAACCCCUAUUGUUAGUUGCCAUCAUUUAGUUGGGCACUCUAGCGAGACUGCCGGUAAUAAACCGGAGGAAGGUGGGGAUGACGUCAAAUCAUCAUGCCCCUUAUGACCUGGGCUACACACGUGCUACAAUGGCUGGUACAACGAGUCGCAAGUCGGUGACGACAAGCUAAUCUCUUAAAGCCAGUCUCAGUUCGGAUUGUAGGCUGCAACUCGCCUACAUGAAGUCGGAAUCGCUAGUAAUCGCGGAUCAGCACGCCGCGGUGAAUACGUUCCCGGGCCUUGUACACACCGCCCGUCACACCACGAGAGUUUGUAACACCCGAAGUCGGUGAGGUAACCAUUUGGAGCCAGCCGCCUAAGGUGGGAUAGAUGAUUGGGGUGAAGUCGUAACAAGGUAACCGUA
rnacentral:rRNA from 1 species